rnacentral:rRNA from 1 species
GAUGAACGCUGGCGGCGUGCCUAAUACAUGCAAGUCGAGCGAACAGACGAGGAGCUUGCUCCUCUGACGUUAGCGGCGGACGGGUGAGUAACACGUGGAUAACCUACCUAUAAGACUGGGAUAACUUCGGGAAACCGGAGCUAAUACCGGAUAAGAUAUUGAACCGCAUGGUUCAAUAGUGAAAGACGGUUUUGCUGUCACUUAUCGAUGGAUCCGCGCCGCAUUAGCUAGUUGGUAAGGUACCGGCUUACCAAGGCGACGAUGCGUAGCCGACCUGAGAGGGUGAUCGGCCACACUGUAACUGAGACACGGUCCAGACACCUACGGGAGGCAGCAGUAGGGAAUCUUCCGCAAUGGGCGAAAGCCUGACGGAGCAACGCCGCGUGAGUGAUGAAGGUCUUCGGAUCGUAAAACGCUUUUAUUAGGGAAGAACAAAUGUGUAAGUAACUAUGCACGUCUUGACGGUACCUAAUCAGAAAGCUACGGCUAACUACGUG